rnacentral:rRNA from 1 species
UAACACAUGCAAGUCGAGGGGCAGCAUGGUCUUAGCUUGCUAAGGCCGAUGGCGACCGGCGCACGGGUGAGUAACGCGUAUCCAACCUGCCUUACACUCUUGGACAGCCUUCUGAAAGGGAGAUUAAUACAAGAUGUUAUCAUGAGUAAGCAUUUUCACAUGAUUAAAGGUUUACCGGUGUAAGAUGGGGAUGCGUUCCAUUAGAUAGUAGGCGGGGUAACGGCCCACCUAGUCUUCGAUGGAUAGGGGUUCUGAGAGGAAGGUCCCCCACAUUGGAACUGAGACACGGUCCAAACUCCUACGGGAGGCAGCAGUGAGGAAUAUUGGUCAAUGGACGAGAGUCUGAACCAGCCAAGUAGCGUGAAGGAUGAAGGUUCUAUGGAUUGUAAACUUCUUUUAUACGGGAAUAAACGAAUCCACGUGUGGAUUUUUGCAUGUACCGUAUGAAUAAGGAUCGGCUAACUCCGUGCCAGCAGCCGCGGUAAUACGGAGGAUCCGAGCGUUAUCCGGAUUUAUUGGGUUUAAAGGGAGCGUAGAUGGGUUGUUAAGUCAGUUGUGAAAGUUUGCGGCUCAACCGUAAAAUUGCAAUUGAUACUGGCAGUCUUGAGUACAGUUGAGGUAGGCGGAAUUCGUGGUGUAGCGGUGAAAUGCUUAGAUAUCACGAAGAACUCCGAUUGCGAAGGCAGCUUACUAACCUGUAACUGACAUUGAUGCUCGAAAGUGUGGGUAUCAAACAGGAUUAGAUACCCUGGUAGUCCACACGGUAAACGAUGAAUACUCGCUGUAGGCGAUAUACAGUCUGCGGCCAAGCGAAAGCAUUAAGUAUUCCACCUGGGGAGUACGCCGGCAACGGUGAAACUCAAAGGAAUUGACGGGGGCCCGCACAAGCGGAGGAACAUGUGGUUUAAUUCGAUGAUACGCGAGGAACCUUACCCGGGCUUAAAUUGCAACCGAAUAUGGCGGAAACGCUAUAGCUAGCAAUAGCGGUUGUGAAGGUGCUGCAUGGUUGUCGUCAGCUCGUGCCGUGAGGUGUCGGCUUAAGUGCCAUAACGAGCGCAACCCUUGCCGAUAGUUACUAACAGGUCAUGCUGAGGACUCUGUCGGGACUGCCAUCGUAAGAUGUGAGGAAGGUGGGGAUGACGUCAAAUCAGCACGGCCCUUACGUCCGGGGCUACACACGUGUUACAAUGGGGGGUACAGAGGGCUGCUACCACGCAAGUGGAUGCCAAUCCCAAAAACCUCUCUCAGUUCGGAUUGAAGUCUGCAACCCGACUUCAUGAAGCUGGAUUCGCUAGUAAUCGCGCAUCAGCCACGGCGCGGUGAAUACGUUCCCGGGCCUUGUACACACCGCCCGUCAAGCCAUGGGAGCCGGGGGUACCUGAAGUGCGUAACCGCAAGGAGCGCCCUAGGGUAAAACUGGUGACUGGGGCUAAG